CUAGGGGUUUCUUGGAUGUUCAGUACAAAUUUCAACCCAAUCCAGUGAGAAACAAGAUCUCAUGAAUUUAAAAGAAAAAAGUUUUGAUUCAUUUUUUUGAAGAAAAUCCAUGACAGGGACUUGGAAAAGUUCUUAAUUCUUAGUGAGUUGGCAUGGAAAGACCCAGAGGCAGAAGAGCUGGCUCUGAACCAAAUCACUGUGCGACCAGUGGCUGAAGGCAUCCCUGGAGGGAGCUCAUCUGAGCCAUUCACCCCCAGAAUACAAGUGCCAGCAUAAGAGUCACUGAUGGUGUUAUCUGCCUUGUUGAGCCUCGCACCACUACAGAGCUCCUUGCAGCUGAUAACGAUGAUGAUGAAUAUACGUCUGCUGCUACAGACAGGAAUUCAGAGAGGCCUACAGGGAAAUACACUUAAAAUUACGUAUGGUAACUACUGAUAGUUCUCUCCGCACUUCAUUUGUUUUACAUUCUUGUGUAGAAUUUAGAGUUUGAACUGUACACUGAAGUGAUGACAAUAAAUAAUGAAUGGUGUACUUGGAGCGACUGAUUGGAAAGGCACAUCUUGAAAUGGAAUUGCGGGAACGCCAGUUAAUUGUUGGAACAAUAUAAAAUAUUAUUACUAACUGUUGCAUUUGUAUUUGUAGGAAAUAAAAAAAAUUAAAAAAAGAUGAAAUGAAAUGUGAAUGAUUUGUACUUUUUGACUGUGGUGGUAGUUUAAUCUGUGAAGGGAUUCUGGCAAAUGAUGCCUUGGACCUGCUCCUCCAUCCUGGACAUGUGCAGGGUGGAUGGGAUUGUCAAAUCAAAUGUACCUGCACAUUAAUGCAGUAGAAAGACAUCAGAAAAUUCAUCAGGGAAUGAUAGCACAUCUACUGAGGUUGUCAAAAUCCUCACCUGACACACAGCCAUGAAUUAAAUCAGCUUCGACAUCGAUCGAGUAAACGAAAAAUAGGACACCCCAUGUCA